ensembl:lncRNA
GCACAAUGGAUUAGCAGUCCAUCGCCUCAACCACUCGGCCACCUCGUCCUACUGCCUUUGUUUUCUUAGGAUGAUUAGAUAAUUGUCAAUAUUGUAGAAUGUUUUUCAUGUUCCUGGGAAGUUUGUAAAGGCGUUAAAUGCAGGGGGCCACUUAGGCCAGGUACACAAAGUUUCAUUUCGAGUUGGGGGAUUAGCUCAAAUGGUAGAGCUUAGCAUGCGAGAAGUAGCGGGAUCAAUGCCCGCAUUCUCCACCAAAGCUUAAUUAAUUAUGUGCCUGUGAUUAAUGGGAAACGACCAGAUUUGUAAACAAACAUUGCUCACUUUGAAUCAGCAGGAUGCACCAACGUGUCAUUGCAAAAGGACUUGUUGAAUGGCAUUAAUGUGUUUUUUCUUGAUGAUCUGAGCACAAUGGUUUAGCAGUCCAUCAUCUUAACCACUCGGCCACCUCGUCCUAUUUCUUUUGUUUUCAUGGGAUGAUUAAAUGAAUGUCAAUAUUGUAGCAUGUUUUUCAUAUUCCUGGGAAGUUUGUAAAGGCGUUAAAUGCAGGGGGGCACUUAGGUCAAGUACACAAGUUUGCAUUAUGUGUUGGGGAAUUAGCUCAAAUGGUAAAGCGCUCGCUUAGCAUGCGAGAAGUAGCGGGAUCAACGACCGCAUUCUCCACUAAAACUUAAUUUAUUUUGUGCCUGCGAAUAGUGGAAAAUGACCAGAUUGAUAAACAACUGCUGCACAAUCGAAAUCAGCAGGAUGCACCUGCGUGUCGUUGCAAAAUGACUCGUUGAAUGCAUCAAUGAGGUUUUCUUGACGAUCUGAGCCUUUCUCCAAACACUGACAUGGUAAGCGAGCAUCAGGUAAAUGCGACGAGAAUGGGAUUCGAACCCAUGCGUGCAGAGCACAAUGGAUUAGCAGUCCAUCAUCUUAACCACUCGGCCACCUCGUCCUAUUUCUUUUGUUUUCAUAGGAUGAUGAGAUAAUUGUCAAUAUUGUAGCAUGUUUUUCAUGUUCCUGGGAAUUUUGUAAAGGCGUUAAAUGCAGGGGGGCACUUAGGUCAAGUACACAAGUUUGCAUUAUGUGUUGGGGAAUUAGCUCAAAUGGUAGAGCGCUCGCUUAGCAUGCGAGAAGUAGCGGGAUCAACGCCCGCAUUCUCCACUAAAGCUUAAUUAAUUUUGUGCCUGCGAAUAGUGGAAAAUGACCAGAUUGAUAAACAACUGCUGCACAAUCGAAAUCAGCAGGAUGCACCUGCGUGUCGUUGCAAAAUGACUCGUUGAAUGCAUCAAUGCGGUUUUCUUGACGAUCUGAGCCUUUCUCCAAACACUGACAUGGUAAGCGAGCAUCAGGUAAAUGCGACGAGAAUGGGAUUCGAACCCAUGCGUGCAGAGCACAAUGGAUUAGCAGUCCAUCGCCUUAACCACUCGGCCACCUCGUCCUACUGCCUUUGUUUUCUUAGGAUGAUUAGAUAAUUGUCAAUAUUGUAGAAUGUUUUUCAUGUUCCUGGGAAGUUUGUAAAGGCGUUAAAUGCAGGGGGGCACUUAGGCCAAGUACACAAAUUUUCAUUUCGAGUUGGGGGAUUAGCUCAAAUGGUAGAGCUUAGCAUGCGAGAAGUAGCGGGAUCAAUGCCCGCAUUCUCCACCAAAGCUUAAUUAAUUAUGUGCCUGUGAUUAAUGGAAAACGACCAGAUU